UACGGAGGAGGCAAGCGUUAUCCGGAAUUAUUGGGCGUAAAGCGUGCGCAGGCGGCUUUGCAAGACAGAUGUGAAAUCCCCGGGCUUAACCUGGGAACUGCAUUUGUGACUGCAUGGCUGGAGUGCGGCAGAGGGGGAUGGAAUUCCGCGUGUAGCAGUGAAAUGCGUAGAUAUGCGGAGGAACACCGAUGGCGAAGGCAAUCCCCUGGGCCUGCACUGACGCUCAUGCACGAAAGCGUGGGGAGCAAACAGG
rnacentral:rRNA from 1 species